AGUGAACGCUGGCGGUAGGCCUAACACAUGCAAGUCGAACGGCAGCACAGUAAGAGCUUGCUCUUACGGGUGGCGAGUGGCGGACGGGUGAGGAAUACAUCGGAAUCUACUUUUUCGUGGGGGAUAACGUAGGGAGACUUACGCUAAUACCGCAUACGACCUACGGGUGAAAGCAGGGGAUCUUCGGACCUUGCGCGAUUGAAUGAGCCGAUGUCGGAUUAGCUAGUUGGCGGGGUAAAGGCCCACCAAGGCGACGAUCCGUAGCUGGUCUGAGAGGAUGAUCAGCCACACUGGAACUGAGACACGGUCCAGACUCCUACGGGAGGCAGCAGUGGGGAAUAUUGGACAAUGGGCGCAAGCCUUAUCCAGCCAUACCGCGUGGGUGAAGAAGGCCUUCGGGUUGUAAAGCCCUUUUGUUGGGAAAGAAAAGCAGCAGGUUAAUACCCCGCUGUUCUGACGGUACCCAAAGAAUAAGCACCGGCUAACUUCGUG
rnacentral:rRNA from 1 species